CUUUUGGUUUUUGUUUGUUUGUUUGUUUGGGGGUUUUGUUUUGUUUUGUUUUGUUUUGUUUUGUUUGUUUUGUUUUAAGAUGGAAAGACUUGAGGAUAGUUAAUGGGAAGGAUCCAGUGAAAACAUCAAGAUUGAACUAUAGAAGAGAGGAUCAUUGUUGGCGGGAAGCAUCUGAAGAAGCCCAAGAUGUGAGAGCCUGGGUUCACGCAGAGACGUUAGUCUUGGGGGAAGACCCUUGCUGCUGAAGUGCGAUCUACCGACUGGCCCCAGCAGUAUCACCUGGGAGCUUGUUGGAAACGCAGCAUCUCAAGCCCUGCCCAAGACAUACUGAACCAGAAUCUGCAACUUGACACAAUCCCCAGGAAGAAGACAAAGCAAGAGUCGUAAAGAGUGUGCUUCAGGGGAAACUCAGGGGAUAUAACCACCUAAUUAUGAAUUUCCUGAAUGUGCAACUCGACCAGCAGCAACUGGACAUGAUUAGUACAGUGGGCCUCACCUCCAGCUGUUCUGCAAAAACAAAUCAGUGAAGGAUUUCCAAGGCACAUUUUCCUUUGGACCCGUUUUAAGUUUUAACAAUGCAAACAGCACAGUGUUGCUCUUUUUUUUACGUAGGUGACAGAUUGAAAAGAAGCAACCGUUUCCUCCAACAAAAGAACUAGUCUAUGGAGCAUAUACUUCGACUUGAGUUGAACGUGUUUGAAUCUGUAUAAAAACACAAAAACUGCAAAUCUGUCUCCUUAUAUGUGGAACCAAAUCUGGAAAUAUGUGCUCUAGAGGCAACUGUAAAAUCAUAUUUCAUUCUGGCAUAUGGGCCAAUGAUUGUGUUGUAGAGAGACAGAGCAUGAAUGGCGGAGGGGCAGAGAGAG